rnacentral:rRNA from 1 species
GAUCAUGGCUCAGGAUGAACGCUAGCUACAGGCUUAACACAUGCAAGUCGAGGGGCAGCAUGAACUUAGCUUGCUAAGUUUGAUGGCGACCGGCGCACGGGUGAGUAACACGUAUCCAACCUUCCGUUUACUCAGGGAUAGCCUUUCGAAAGAAAGAUUAAUACCUGAUAGUAUGGUGAGAUUGCAUGAUGGCACCAUUAAAGAUUUAUUGGUAAACGAUGGGGAUGCGUUCCAUUAGGUAGUAGGCGGGGUAACGGCCCACCUAGCCUGCGAUGGAUAGGGGUUCUGAGAGGAAGGUCCCCCACAUUGGAACUGAGACACGGUCCAAACUCCUACGGGAGGCAGCAGUGAGGAAUAUUGGUCAAUGGGCGAGAGCCUGAACCAGCCAAGUAGCGUGAAGGAUGAAGGUCCUACGGAUUGUAAACUUCUUUUAUACGGGAAUAAAGUUUCCUACGUGUAGGAUUUUGUAUGUACCGUAUGAAUAAGCAUCGGCUAACUCCGUG